CUGCGCCUGCGAGGAGAGGCGGGGCGAGCUGCUGCUGUGUCCCGCCAUGAGGGGGAGAUGGAGCUCAGCUCCCUGUUUGCUGCACGCCGUGGACAGCAGGGGGAGGAAGAAGACCCGGCUGCUGUUGCGCGAGGGAGAACGAGUAAGGGAGAAGAAGGGGCGUCGGUAUGGGGGAUUUUUCUGGGCGUCCAUGGGAGGGAGCUGCCGCGUCGCCAUGGACAGGGAGGCAACGCCAUGAGGAAACUCGAGCUCGAGCCAUGGGGAAGGGAAGGGAGCUCGCUGGGGCAUCUCCUGCGCCAUGGGAGGAAGCAGGACGCCAUGGCUGGGGGGGCGCGUGGAGCAGGGAGCCUGCUGCUCGCCUUCAGCAAGGGCGCCGAGUUGGGCUGGAAGCAGCCGAGGAGGGAGCUCGCCCGCGCCGUGAAGGAGAGCUCGGCGGCAAGGGUGCCUGGAGGAAGGAGCUCGCCGCAGGGAAGGCUGGCGCCAUGGGAGCAGCUCGGCAGAGAGCUUCUCUGCGCCAUGAGCAGGAGAGAAGAGGGAACCGGCUGGGAGAAAUGGCGCCGGGGAGGAACGCAGGCAGGGCGUCGGGGCCUGGGCGUCCAUGGCUGCAAGCCUUGCUCCCUGCUUGCUGCCGUGGGAGCCAGGGAGGAAGAAGGCAGGGGGAUGCGUGCGUUGGCUGGAAGGAGGAGAGGGAGAAAUGUUGUGGCGGCUAGGGGGGUAGAUGCAAUUUUCCAAAUUGGCAAGGGGAGGCACUUCUAUUUAUAG
rnacentral:misc_RNA from 1 species